CUACGGGUUGCAGCAGUGGGGAAUAUUGCACAAUGGGCGCAAGCCUGAUGCAGCCAUGCCGCGUGUAUGAAGAAGGCCCUCGGGUUGUAAAGUACUUUCAGCGGGGAGGAAGGGAGUAAAGUUAAUACCUUUGCUCAUUGACGUUACCCGCAGAAGAAGCACCGGCUAACUCCGUGCCAGCAGCCGCGGUAAUACGGAGGGUGCAAGCGGUAAUCGGAAUUACUGGGCGUAAAGCGCACGCAGGCGGUUUGUUAAGUCAGAUGUGAAAUCCCCGGGCUCAACCUGGGAACUGCAUCUGAUACUGGCAAGCUUGAGUCUCGUAGAGGGGGGUAGAAUUCCAGGUGUAGCGGUGAUAUGCGUAGAGAUCUGGAGGAAUACCGGUGGCGAAGGCGGCCCCCUGGACGAAGACUGACGCUCAGGUGCGAAAGCGUGGGGAGCAAACAGGAUUAGAUACCCUAGUAGUC
rnacentral:rRNA from 1 species